GAGGCUGGGUACGGUGGCUAAUGUCUAUAAUCCCAGCACAUUGGGAGGCCAAGGUGGGACGAUUACUUGAGGUCAGGAGUUUGAAACCAGCCUGGUCAAUCUAGCAAGACUUCCUCUCUACAGAAACGAAAAAAAUUAGCCAGGCACCCUCACGCUCAGUGCCUGUAGUCCCCGCACUUUCAAAGGCUGAAGCAGGAGGAUCCUUUGAGCCCUGGAAGGUCGAAGCUGCAGUGAGUUGUGAUCGCACCACUGCACGACAGCCUGGGCGAAAGAGUGAGAACCUGUCUCAAAAAAAAAAGAGAAUCUUCACAGGCAUCCCUUCCUCCCAAGUCUCCUCACUUGUCUUAUCUGAAGGUUUGUUCCCCAGAACUAUGAGAACCCUCUACAUCUCUUUCUCUCAGCCCAGCCAGGUUCCUCUGGGCUUGAGUCCUACAUCCCUGGCCUCAGCUACAAGGCAUGAGUUCCUGCUGUUCAUGAAACCAAUUGGAAAGUAAGGGGCACUACUGCACUGAUAAUCUUGGCUCCUUGCUCAAAGGCACGGAGAACCACCUCUCCCUAACCUGCAAUGUGGGAAAUGUCUCACAUACUAUAUGGGAGACUGCAGAGAAGAAAGGGGUCACCAGAACAAUAAACCCAAACAGGAUAUACAAUGGAAUGUACGCUAUGAUUACAACUCUGCUAAAAUAUAUCUGCCAGUGGACUAGCCCAGGAAACGAACAAGCAAAAGUGAAAGCAACUGCAUGAUUCAGCGGGCUGUCUUCCUGACUCCUG
rnacentral:lncRNA from 10 species